rnacentral:lncRNA from 1 species
UUAAUCCACUAUUAACCACACCUUUUCCCCAAUUACCUCAUCAUUAUCUGAUUUUCCUCCAUACCUCCUCAGUAGGACCCUGUGAGUACCCUCCUAUGCGCUUGUUCAAAAACAUUGUGGACAAUGUUGAGUUCAAGUGUGGGGGAGAUUUUAUGUUUUUUUUAGUAUUUGGUUAUUGUGUUAUAUAUAUUUAUUUAUUUUUUACUUUUGUAUUCUAGAUUUAAUUUGUCCGU